rnacentral:rRNA from 1 species
GACGAACGCUGGCGGCGUGCUUAACACAUGCAAGUCGAACGGAAAGGCCCUGCUUGCAGGGUACUCGAGUGGCGAACGGGUGGGUAACACGUGGGUGAUCUGCCCUGCACUUCGGGUUAAGCCUGGUAAACUGGGUCUAAUACCGGAUAGGAGCCAUUUUUAGUGUGAUGGUUGGAAAGUUUUGUCGGUUUAGGAUGAGCUCGCGGCCUAUCAGCUUGUUGGUGGGGUUAUGGCCUACCAAGGCGGCGUCGGGUAGCCGGCCUGAGAGGGUGGACGGCCACAUUGGGACUGAGGGACGGCCCAGACACCUACGGGAGGCAGAUGUGGGGAAUAUUGAACAAGCGGCGCAAGCCUGAUGCAGCGACGCCGCGUGGGGGAUGACGGCCUUCGUGUUGUAAACUCAUUUCGCUAGGGACGAAGCUUGUUGUGACGGUACCUAGAUAAGAAGCACCGGCUAACUACGUG